rnacentral:rRNA from 1 species
AAAUACUACCCAGUGACCGAUAGCGUAUAGUACUGUGAAGGAAAGGUGAAAAGCACCCCGGGAGGGGAGUGAAAAAGAACCUGAAACCCUGUGCCUACAAGCACCUAGAGCACGUCAAUGUGUGAUAGGGUACUUUUUGUAGAACGGUCCGGCGAGCGAUUGUAUGCAGCAAGGUUAAGGACUUAAGGUCUGGAGCCGAAGCGAAAGCGAGUUUGAAAAGGGCGUUAAGUUGCAUAUAAUGGGCCCGAAACCGGGUGACCUACCCAUGGUCAGGUUGAAGUGGAAGUAAAAUUCCAUGGAGGACCGAACCGACCUCCGUUGAAAAGGCGGCGGAUGAACUGUGGGUAGCGGAGAAAUUCCAAUCGAACCCGGAGAUAGCUGGUUCUCCCCGAAAUAGUUUUAGGACUAGCCUCAGGUUAGAUAUCUGGAGGUAAAGCACUGAAUAGCCUAGCGGCCGAGAGGUUAGCGAAGCUUAUCAAACUCAGAAUGCCAGAGUAUUGAUGCUUGGGAGUCAGACAGUGUCAGAUAAAUGUCAUUGUCAAAAGGGAAACAGCCCAGAUCUACAGCUAAGGUCCCAAAGUCAGGUUAAGUGGAAAACGAUGUGAAGAUACGCAGACAACCAGGAUGUUGGCUCAGAAGCAGCCACUCAUUCAAAGAGUGCGUAAUAGCUCACUGGUCGAGCGUCUUUGCGCGGAGAAUUUAACGGGGCUAAACCUGGCACCGAAGCUUAGGCAAUGUAGUAAUACAUUGGGUAGGGGAGCGUUGUAUACGCGGAGAAACAGUAGCGUAAGCGGCUGUGGAGUGUAUAGAAGUGAGAAUGCCGGAAUGAGUAGCGCGAAUGCAGUGAGAAUCUGCAUGGCCGAAAGCCUCAGGUUUUUGGAGGAAGGUUCGUCCGCUCCAAGUUAGUCGGGAGCUAAGGUGAGGCCGGAAGGCGUAGCCGAUGCACAGACGGUAGAGAUUCCGUCACCACCAAAAGAGUUAAGCACAGGGACACAUUUGAAGUCUCAGAGCCGGGUGUUGGUUCCGGUAGAGAUCGAGGGAAAUUAGUACCGAAGUCUGGGAUGGAAGAUGGCGAGAAAAGCUGUGUGUAUUUCUGAGGUGCCCGUACCGCAAACCGACACAGGUAGGUAGGAAGAAGAUUCUAAGGCCAACGGGAGAAGGGUUGUUAAGGAACUCGGCAAAUUGACCCCGUAACUUCGGGAGAAGGGGUGCUCCAGAGAUGGAGCCGCAGAGAAUCGGCCCAAGCAACUGUUUACCAAAAACACAGGUUUGUGCUAAAUCGAAAGAUGACGUAUACGAGCUGACGCCUGCCCGGUGCUGGAAGGUUAAGAGGAGAUGUGCAAGCAUUGAAUCGAAGCCCCAGUGAACGGCGGCCGUAACUAUAACGGUCCUAAGGUAGCGAAAUUCCUUGUCAGGUAAGUUCUGACCCGCAUGAAAGGCGUAAUGAUUUGGGCACUGUCUCAACAGCCCGCCCGGCGAAAUUGUAGUACCGGUGAAGAUGCCGGUUACCCGCGACAAGACGGAAAGACCCCAUGGAGCUUUACUGUAGCCUAAUAUUGGGUUUCGAUGUUGCAUGCACAGGAUAGAUGGGACACAGGGAAACAAUCGCUUUGGCGGUUGCGGAGUGGCCGUUGGGAUACCAUCCUUGCGAUAUUGGAAUUCUAACCUGCGGCUCUGAAUCGAGUCGGGGGACAUUGUUAGGUGGGCAGUUUGACUGGGGCGGUCGCCUCCUAAAAAGUAACGGAGGCGCCCAAAGGUUCCCUCAGAACGGUCGGAAAUCGUUCGUAGAGUGCAAAGGCAGAAGGGAGCCUGACUGCGACACCCACAAGUGGAGCAGGGACGAAAGUCGGGCUUAGUGAUCCGGUGGUACCUCGUGGGAGGGCCAUCGCUCAACGGAUAAAAGCUACCUCGGGGAUAACAGGCUGAUCUCCCCCAAGAGUCCACAUCGACGGGGAGGUUUGGCACCUCGAUGUCGGCUCGUCGCAUCCUGGGGCUG